rnacentral:rRNA from 1 species
UACGGAGGAUGCAAGCGUUAUCCGGAAUGAUUGGGCGUAAAGCGUCCGCAGGUGGCUGUGUAAGUCUGCUGUCAAAGAGCAAAGCUCAACUUUGUAAAGGCAGUGGAAACUACACGGCUAGAGUGCGUUCGGGGCAGAGGGAAUUCCUGGUGUAGCGGUGAAAUGCGUAGAGAUCAGGAAGAACACCGGUGGCGAAGGCGCUCUGCUAGGCCGCAACUGACACUGAGGGACGAAAGCUGAGGGGAGCGAAUGG